UACACAUGCAAGUCGAGCAGUAGAGAGCAGCCAAUUCUCUUGAGAGCGGCGGACGGGUGAGUAAAGCCUAGGAAUCUGCCUGGUAGUGGGGGAUAACGUUCGGAAACGGACGCUAAUAUCGCAUACGGAUACGGGGGAAAGCAGGGGACCUUCGGGCCUUGCGCUAUCAGAUGAGCCUAGGUCGGAUUAGCUAGUUGGUGAGGUAAUGGCUCACCAAGGCGACGAUCCGUAACUGGUCUGAGAGGAUGAUCAGUCACACUGGAACUGAGACACGGUCCAGACUCCUACGGGAGGCAGCAGUGGGGAAUAUUGGACAAUGGGCGAAAGCUUGAUCCAGCCAUGCCGCGUGUGUGAAGAAGGUCUUCGGAUUGUAAAGCACUUUAAGUUGGGAGGAAGGGUUGUAGAUUA
rnacentral:rRNA from 1 species